rnacentral:snoRNA from 1 species
AUGAUUAUACUCUUUAGGAUCAUUUUUAUAGUGACCUAACCGAGUCCACACAUCCACAUGUGCCACACCUUUAACUUCAUUCGAUGACACUGUUCACGCCGCCCUCACACCGAGACCUUCCGCUGCAUUUACUUUUUGCAGUUCGAUGACGUGCGCUCACGAGCGAAGCCGGCCGCUUGCGGCUGUGUUUUGCGAGUGGGCGGGGCGGGUGUGACUUUUCUGAUGAAGU